GGACCCGCACAAGUAGUGGAGCAUGUGGUUUAAUUCGAAGAUACGCGCAGAACCUUACCAACACUUGACAUGUUCGUCGCGACUUUAAGAGAUUAAAGUUUUCGGUUCGGCCGGACGAAACACAGGUGCUGCAUGGCUGUCGUCAGCUCGUGUCGUGAGAUGUUGGGUUAAGUCCCGCAACGAGCGCAACCCUCACUUUUAGUUGCCAUCAUUAAAGUUGGGCACUCUGAAAGAACUGCCAGUGAUAAGCUGGAGGAAGGUGGGGAUGACGUCAAGUCCUCAUGGCCCCUUACGUGUUGGGCUACACACGUGCUACAAUGGUAUUUACAACAGGAAGCAAGACGGCGACGUU
rnacentral:rRNA from 1 species